rnacentral:rRNA from 1 species
GACGAACGCUGGCGGCGUGCUUAACACAUGCAAGUCGAACGGAAAGGCCCUGCUUUUGUGGGGUGCUCGAGUGGCGAACGGGUGAGUAACACGUGAGUAACCUGCCCUUGACGUUGGGAUAACGUCAGGAAACUGGGGCUAAUACCGGAUAGGAGCUCCUGCUGCAUGGUGGGGGUUGGAAAGUUUCGGCGGUUGGGGAUGGACUCGCGGCUUAUCAGCUUGUUGGUGGGGUAGUGGCUUACCAAGGCUUUGACGGGUAGCCGGCCUGAGAGGGUGACCGGCCACAUUGGGACUGAGAUACGGACCAGACUCCUACGGGAGGCAGCAGUGGGGAAUAUUGCACAAUGGGCGGAAGCCUGAUGCAGCAACGCCGCGUGCGGGAUGACGGCCUUCGGGUUGUAAACCGCUUUCGCCUGUGACGAAGCGUGAGUGACGGUAAUGGGUAAAGAAGCACCGGCUAACUACGUG